rnacentral:misc_RNA from 1 species
GUGGGAGGGGGCUUGCCCCCGAUGGCGGUAUGUCAGCCAGCUUAUUUGUAGCUGACCCACCGCUAUCGGGGGCAAGCCCCCUCCCAC